rnacentral:lncRNA from 1 species
CCAAACCCAAUCUCUGACUCAGAGUAAGCAGUCAGUAAAUGAGAGGAAAUAUUAUUACCAUCACCACCACCAUCGCUAUCAUCACCACCAUCAUCAUUACCACAUCACCAUCACCACCAUCAUCACCACCAUCACCAUUAUCAUCUCCACCAUCACCACCACCAUCAUCAUCACCACCAUCACCACCACCAUCAUCACCAUCAUCACCAUCACCACCACCAUCACACCACCAUCAUUACCAUUAUCAUCUCCACCAUCACCACCACCAUCAUCACCAUCACCACCACCAUCAUCAUCAUCUCCACCAUCACCACCACGUGGCAUCAUCACAUCACCAUCAUCACCAUUACCACCAUAACAUCACCAUCAUCACCAUUAUCACCAUCAUAUCACCACCACCACCAUCAUCACCACAUCACCAUCACCACCAUCAUCACCACCAUCACCAUUAUCAUCUCCACCACCAUCACCAUUAUCAUCUCCACCACCAUCACCACAAUCACAUCACCACCACCACCAUUAUACCAUCAUCACAAU